rnacentral:rRNA from 1 species
CGUAAAGCUCUGUUGUUAGGGAAGAACAAGUGCGAGAGUAACUGCUCGCACCAUGACGGUACCUAACCAGAAAGCCACGGCUAACUACGUGCCAGCAGCCGCGGUAAUACGUAGGUGGCAAGCGUUGUCCGGAAUUAUUGGGCGUAAAGGGCUCGCAGGCGGUUUCUUAAGUCUGAUGUGAAAGCCCCCGGCUCAACCGGGGAG